rnacentral:ncRNA from 1 species
GUAUCUCUUUAUGUUAAUAGACAAGGAGUAUUCUACGGUCUUAUGGCCUAAACUAUAGUGAACCUAUCGUUAUAAACUAUCAAAUUGCGGGAACGCCCUAAAGCAAUCAUAACCAAGUAGGAGUAGUAAUAUAUCUUAUGGCGCAGGUAAUGACUCGCGGUAUGGUAAAAUCAUGAUUGAUAAUUCAAUGGGUAAUCCGCAGCCAAGCACCAAGUAUUUUAUUAUUAUUGGGUGUGCAGUUCAUCGACUAGACGGUAGUUGGUAUUAUUUUUAUUACUAUUAUAAUGCUUAAGGUAUAGUCAAACCCCACCUGAAAGGGUGCA